CUUUGGGGUUGGGAGCCCUUUGGAGGGCUUCUGUUCUAGCCAGUAAUCUUUUUGUUGCCAGUGACCAUAACACAUGGCAGAAACUCACACUGCAAAGGCAGAGAGGGCAGGGGAACAGCCACCACCUCUUGCCUGUGCUUCUCUGGUUCCUUCCACCCAUCAGGGAUCAUGUCUGCCCACCUAGCCUGACUUCACAUCUUACAUACCCAUCACCUAUAGGGCCGG
rnacentral:lncRNA from 10 species